rnacentral:lncRNA from 1 species
ACUCUCUUAUCCUAUAAUAUUGUUUCACUCAUUGAAGCAAACCGUACAAUUGCAAUUGUGUCCAUCACAAUGAGCAUCCCUGGAAUAACCACCCCGUUCUUUGGCUAUGGAGCCGCAGUUGAACUUGCAAAGGGUUUUGGUGCAGAAGAUCAUUCCAUCCAAACCAUCCUGGACGCAGCGCUCUGUGGCAGAAAAAUAAGCACAACGUUACUACGAAGGCUCUAUAUAUAUGUGUCCCGUAAAAAAAGGCUAUAUAUGUGCCUGUAAAACAUGUGUAAAACCGUAGCAUGUGCAACAAAAUUUGCACGCUUCUGUCUAAAUGAAACUAGUCAUCUCUUUUGAUCACACACACACAAAAAAAACUAGUCAUCUCAAAUUCAACAACAUUUACUUGAGAUUUGCAAGGAUAACAACAUAACAAAGAACACACCUGCCGAAGUUGGAUUUCCAAGCAACAGAAGCAGCAAAACGAAACAAACACCCGUAGCCCGUGUAUCCAUUACAAACUGUCUCGCUAACAAGAGUACCUCUUUUCUUGUUGUAAUCUCUCCUGUGCGUGGCUAGGAAACAACCCCGUAUAUUCUGUG